AGCUUUGCGCAGUGGCAGUAUCGUAGCCUAUGAGGUUUAUCCGAGGCGCGAUUAUUGCUCGUUGAAAACUUUACCCAAAAAUA
ensembl:snRNA U4 U4 spliceosomal RNA